rnacentral:rRNA from 1 species
GAUGAACGCUUGCUACAGGCUUAACACAUGCAAGUCGAGGGGAAACGACAUCGAAAGCUUGCUUUUGAUGGGCGUCGACCGGCGCACGGGUGAGUAACGCGUAUCCAACCUGCCCAUCACUUGGGAAUAACCUUGCGAAAGUAAGACUAAUACCCAAUGAUAUCCCACGAAGGCAUCGGAAUGGGAUUAAAGAUUUAUCGGUGGUGGAUGGGGAUGCGUCUGAUUAGCUUGUUGGCGGGGUAACGGCCCACCAAGGCAACGAUCAGUAGGGGUUCUGAGAGGAAGGUCCCCCACAUUGGAACUGAGACACGGUCCAAACUCCUACGGGAGGCAGCAGUGAGGAAUAUUGGUCAAUGGGCGAGAGCCUGAACCAGCCAAGUAGCGUGCAGGAAGACGGCCCUAUGGGUUGUAAACUGCUUUUAUAAGGGAAUAAAGUGGGUAACGUGUGACUUUUUGCAUGUACCUUAUGAAUAAGGACCGGCUAAUUCCGUG